rnacentral:rRNA from 1 species
AACGAACGCUGGCGGCAUGCCUAACACAUGCAAGUCGAACGAGACCUUCGGGUCUAGUGGCGCACGGGUGCGUAACGCGUGGGAACCUGCCCUUAGGUUCGGAAUAACUCCCCGAAAGGGGUGCUAAUACCGGAUAAUGUCUUCGGACCAAAGAUUUAUCGCCUUUGGAUGGGCCCGCGUUGGAUUUGCUAGUUGGUAGGGUAAAAGCCUACCAAGGCGGCGAUCCAUAGCUGGUCGGAGAGGAUGAUCAGCCACACUGGGACUGAGACACGGCCCAGACUCCUACGGGAGGCAGCAGUGGGGAAUAUUGGACAAUGGGCGAAAGCCUGAUCCAGCAAUGCCGCGUGAGUGAUGAAGGCCUUAGGGUUGUAAAGCUCUUUUACCCGGGAUGAUAAUGACAGUACCGGGAGAAUAAGCUCCGGCUAACUCCGUG